GGUACUCGAGCGGCGAACGGGUGAGUAACACGUGAGCAACCUGCCCUAGGCUUUGGGAUAACCCUCGGAAACGGGGGCUAAUACCGGAUAUUCACUUGCGGACGCAUGUUUGUGGGUGGAAAGUUUUUCGGCUUGGGAUGGGCUCGCGGCCUAUCAGCUUGUUGGUGGGGUGAUGGCCUACCAAGGCGACGACGGGUAGCCGGCCUGAGAGGGCGACCGGCCACACUGGGACUGAGACACGGCCCAGACUCCUACGGGAGGCAGCAGUGGGGAAUAUUGCACAAUGGGCGGAAGCCUGAUGCAGCGACGCCGCGUGAGGGAUGACGGCCUUCGGGUUGUAAACCUCUUUCAGCAGGGACGAAGCGCAAGUGACGGUACCUGCAGAAGAAGCGCCGGCCAACUACGUGCCAGCAGCCGCGGUAAGACGUAGGGCGCGAGCGUUGUCCGGAUUUAUUGGGCGUAAAGAGCUCGUAGGCGGCUUGUCGCGUCGACUGUGAAAACCCGUGGCUCAACUGCGGGCCUGCAGUCGAUACGGGCAGGCUAGAGUUCGGUAGGGGAGACUGGAAUUCCUGGUGUAGCGGUGAAAUGCGCAGAUAUCAGGAGGAACACCGGUGGCGAAGGCGGGUCUCUGGGCCGAUACUGACGCUGAGGAGCGAAAGCGUGGGGAGCGAACAGGAUUAGAUACCCUGGUAGUCCACGC
rnacentral:rRNA from 1 species